rnacentral:rRNA from 1 species
AGCUCCAAUAGCGUAUAUUAAUGUUGUUGCAGUUAAAAAGCUCGUAGUUGGAUUUCUGGUCGGAUCACCUGGCCGGUUCCGCAAGGGGUCGUGCAUGGGUGCCUUCGUCCAUCCUCAGGGGGCCAAGCGCUGGUAUUCAUUUAUCGGUGUUUGAACGCCUGUCGUUUACUGUGAACAAAUUAGAGUGUUCAAAGCAAGGUGUACUUGAAUACAUUAGCAUGGAAUAAUAAGAUAGGACUUUGGUGGUUCUUUUUGAUAUUUUGUUGGUUUGCACGCCAAAGUAAUGAUUAAUAGGAGCAGUUGGGGGUAUUCGUAUUCAAUUGUCAGAGGUGAAAUUCUUGGAUUUAUAGAAGACGAACUACUGCGAAAGCAUUUACCAAGGAUGUUUUCAUUAAUCAAG